UGUGCAACGACUUGCACGCCCAUGCUUAACACUUUAUUGUUGCAACGCCGCUGAUUUUCGCGAACUACAUCUUUACGUUGACACACAUUAACUCUGUGUCUCGCGCCUCUGUGAUCUUUCAUUUGUCUGCGCAUUGAAAAUCUCUCGAAGGUUCUUUCUUUUCCGCUUUUUCCCUCAAGGAAGAAGGUUAUCUGUCGAAAUGUCUUAUCGGAACUCAUCGAUUGAUUAUUCUGAAAUUAAUGAAUUUUAAGUUGGCGAGGUUAACAAUAUUGUCUCGCUUUUUGGUCCGGAGCUCAAAUUUUUGGUCCGGAGCUCAAAUUUUUGGACUGGAGCUCCAAUUUCUGUACCGGAGCUGGGUGCUUAUGUGUCUGACAAGAAUUUGGAAUGCAACUUUGGCUUGAGGCACAGCAUUUGAACGGAGCUUGAGGCUUAAUAGAAUUUGGACUGAAAUACAGGUGUCUGACUGUGAAAGUACGAUUUUGGUUUAAAGCAGAAUCAUCAACCUUGGGCUGAAUUCAACUCUACGCUGCACAUUAUCGAAUACUACAGGAAACCCACGUCCAACAGGGACAGAUCUGUUGCUUGAACUCACUUAAGCUAAGUAGAUCUAAGUUGUGAAAUUUUGAGAGACUGUAAACUUUAAAUUCCUGUCAUUACGACUGAUUUUCAGAUUGUACAUUGUAAUUAUUUUAAAUAAUAUAUUGUGAAAAACCUGA